rnacentral:tRNA from 1 species
GGUGCAGCUCAGUGGUGAAGCGCUUGCUUACCAAGAGCAAGGCCCUGGGUUCCAUCCCCAGUGCAACA